AUGAAGUACUUGCUAAUUGACCCAUCCGGCACCCAGCUAUUUGAUCUUAUUAGGGACGGUGUCCUGCUCUGUAGGUUAAUCAAUGUAGCUGUAUGUGGAACCAUUGAUGAGAGAGCAAUAAAUAAGAAAAGAGUUCGUAACCCAUGGGAGAGGAAUCAAAAUCACAUGAUGUGUCUCAACUCUGCAAAGGCCAUUGGAUGUACUGUUGUCAACAUUGGUACGCAGGAUUUAGUGGAAGGAAGGUUUUGGGCCAUCAUAUUUCCCCGAGAAUCAAGGGAAAGGAAGAGGAAAGUAAAAUGUUGA
rnacentral:rRNA from 1 species